CAGGGAGUAGUUUAAUAUAGCAAUAUCAGCUUUGGGAGUUGAAGGUGAAACUAUUUGUUUCUUCCCUGA
rnacentral:tRNA from 1 species